GCAAGUCGAACGAACUUAGGCCUAGCUUGCUAGGAACGGUUAGUGGCAAACGGGUGAGUAACGCGUGGGAACCUACCUUUUAGUACGGAAUAGUCCUGGGAAACUGGGUUUAAUACCGUAUACGCUCUACGGAGGAAAGAUUUAUUGCUAAAAGAUGGGCCCGCGUUAGAUUAGUUUGUUGGUGGGGUAAUGGCCUACCAAGACUACGAUCUAUAGCUGGUUUGAGAGGAUGAUC
rnacentral:rRNA from 1 species